rnacentral:rRNA from 1 species
GACGAACGCUGGCGGCGUGCUUAACACAUGCAAGUCGAACGGAAAGGCCCUGCUUUUGUGGGGUGCUCGAGUGGCGAACGGGUGAGUAACACGUGAGUAACCUGCCCUUGACUUUGGGAUAACUUCAGGAAACUGGGGCUAAUACCGGAUAGGAGCUCCUGCUGCAUGGUGGGGGUUGGAAAGUUUCGGCGGUUGGGGAUGGACUCGCGGCUUAUCAGCUUGUUGGUGGGGUAGUGGCUUACCAAGGCUUUGACGGGUAGCCGGCCUGAGAGGGUGGCCGGGCACAUUGGGCCUGCGAUACGGAGCAGACUCCUACGGGAGGCAGCAGUGGGGAAUAUUGCACAAUGGGGGGAAGCCUGAUGCAGCAACGCCGCGUGCGGGAUGACGGCCUUCGGGUUGUAAACCGCUUUCGCCUGUGACGAAGCGUGAGUGACGGUAAUGGGUAAAGAAGCACCGGCUAACUACGUG